CCCUAGUAACUGCGAGUGAAGCGGGAAAAGCUCAAAUUUAAAAUCUGGCGGUCUUUGGCCGUCCGAGUUGUAGUCUGGAGAAGUGCUUUCCGCGCUGGACCGUGUAUAAGUCUCUUGGAACAGAGCGUCAUAGAGGGUGAGAAUCCCGUCUUUGACACGGACUACCAGUGCUUUGUGAUGCGCUCUCAAAGAGUCGAGUUGUUUGGGAAUGCAGCUCAAAAUGGGUGGUGAAUUCCAUCUAAAGCUAAAUAUUGGCGAGAGACCGAUAGCGAACAAGUACCGUGAGGGAAAGAUGAAAAGCACUUUGGAAAGAGAGUUAAACAGUACGUGAAAUUGCUGAAAGGGAAACGCUUGAAGUCAGUCGCGUUGUCCGGAACUCAGCCUUGCUUUUGCUUGGUGCACUUUCCGGAUGACGGGUCAGCAUCGAUUUUGACCGUCGGAAAAGGGCUGGAGUAAUGUGGCACCUCCGGGUGUGUUAUAGACUCUGGUCGCAUACGACGGUUGGGAUCGAGGAACGCAGCGCGCCGCAAGGCAGGGGUUCGCCCACUUUCGCGCUUAGGAUGCUGGCAUAAUGGCUUUAAACGACCCGUCUUGAAACACGGACCAAGGAGUCUAACAUACCUGCGAGUGUUUGGGUGGAAAACCCGAGCGCGUAAUGAAAGUGAAAGUUGAGAUCCCUGUCGUGGGGAGCACCGACGCCCGGACCUGACGUUCUCUGACGGAUCCGCGGUAGAGCAUGUAUGUUGGGACCCGAAAGAUGGUGAACUAUGCCUGAAUAGGGUGAAGCCAGAGGAAACUCUGGUGGAGGCUCGUAGCGAUUCUGACGUGCAAAUCGAUCGUCAAAUUU
rnacentral:rRNA from 1 species